AAAAAGCUCGUAGUUGGAUUUCUGGCAUGAUGCGCCUGGCCCGCUCCGAUUACGGAUGUGUGUGCUAGUGCGCGUCUGCCAUCCAUUUACAGAAUGUAUCUACCCUUCAUUGGGCCGGAUAUGUGAUGUAAAUCUUUUACUUUGAAAAAAUUAGAGUGUUUAAAGCAGGCAUUUGCUAUGAAUACAUUAGCAUGGAAUAAUAAUCUAGGACUUCGGUUUUAUUUUGUUGGUUUCUAAAUCUGGAGUAAUGAUUGAUAGGGAUAGUUGGGGGUGCUAGUAUUUAGGGGCCAGAGGUGAAAUUCUUGGAUUCUCUAAAGACUAACUUAUGCGAAAGCAUUCACCAAGGAUGUCUUCUUUAAUCAAGAACGAAAGUUGGGGGAUCGAAGACGAUCAGAUACCGUCGUAGUCUCAACCAUAAACUAUGCCAACUAGGGAUGAGUGAACGUUGCAUUUUCGACUUCAUUCGCACCUUAUGAGAAAUCAAAGUCUUUGGGUUCCGGGGGGAGUAUGGUCGCAAGGCUGAAACUUAAAGGAAUUGACGGAAGGGCACCACCAGGAGUGGAGCCUGCGGCUUAAUUUGACUCAACACGGGAAAACUUACCAGGUCCAGACAUAGUUAGGAUUGACAGGUUGAAGACCUUUCUUGAUUCUAUGGGUGGUGGUGCAU
rnacentral:rRNA from 1 species